AUACGUAGGUGGCGAGCGUUGUCCGGAAUUACUGGGCGUAAAGGAUGCGUAGGUGGAUACUUAAGUGGGAUGUGAAAUCCCCGGGCUCAACCCGGGAACUGCAUUCCAAACUGGGUAUCUAGAGUGCAGGAGAGGAAAGCGGAAUUCCUAGUGUAGCGGUGAAAUGCGUAGAUAUUAGGAGGAACACCGGUGGCGAAGGCGGCUUUCUGGACAGUAACGGACGCUGAGGCGCGAAAGCGUGGGGAGCAAACAGGAUUAGAUACCCUGGUAGUCCACGCCAUAAACGAUGAAUACUAGGUGUAGGGGGUAUCGACCCCCUCUGUGCCGACGUUAACACAUUAAGUAUUCCACCUGGGGAGUACGGCCGCAAGGCUGAAACUCAAAUGAAUUGACGGGG
rnacentral:rRNA from 1 species